rnacentral:rRNA from 1 species
UACGAAGGGUGCAAGCGUUAAUCGGAAUUACUGGGCGUAAAGCGUGCGCAGGCGGUUCGCUAAGUCCGGUGUGAAAUCCCCGGGCUUAACCUGGGAACUGCAUUGGUGACUGGCGGGCUAGAGUGUGGCAGAGGGGGGUAGAAUUCCACGUGUAGCAGUGAAAUGCGUAGAGAUGUGGAGGAAUACCGAUGGCGAAGGCAGCCCCCUGGGCUAACACUGACGCUCAUGCACGAAAGCGUGGGGAGCAAACAGG